rnacentral:rRNA from 1 species
CGUACACUCCUGCGGGAGGCAGCAGUGGGGAAUAUUGCACAAUGGGCGCAAGCCUGAUGCAGCCAUGCCGCGUGUAUGAAGAAGGCCUUCGGGUUGUAAAGUACUUUCAGCGGGGAGGAAGGCGAUAAGGUUAAUAACCUUGUUGAUUGACGUUACCCGCAGAAGAAGCACCGGCUAACUCCGUGCCAGCAGCCGCGGUAAUACGGAGGGUGCAAGCGUUAAUCGGAAUUACUGGGCGUAAAGCGCACGCAGGCGGUCUGUCAAGUCGGAUGUGAAAUCCCCGGGCUCAACCUGGGAACUGCAUUCGAAACUGGCAGGCUAGAGUCUUGUAGAGGGGGGUAGAAUUCCAGGUGUAGCGGUGAAAUGCGUAGAGAUCUGGAGGAAUACCGGUGGCGAAGGCGGCCCCCUGGACAAAGACUGACGCUCAGGUGCGAAAGCGUGGGGAGCAAACAGGAUUAGAAACCCCUGUAGUCCCAUG